UGGCACUCUACCAAGGAUGACAAAGUGAGACUCUCUCUCAAAAAGAAUAAAGGGUAUAGCCUGGUGUGUAGUGGCUGCAAACAGCAGCCUCCUUGGUAGUAUACGCACCCUGUUGCUUGUAUAGGUUACUCUAAGGCACCUUGGAGACAUUC
rnacentral:snoRNA from 1 species